rnacentral:ncRNA from 2 species
AUAGAGAAAGUAGCAUAUAUGGAUUUACAGCGAGUUAGGGGUUGGUGUAAGCCUAGCAAUGAAGUCUAUGUGAAGAGAGCUCUGGAGGAGAUUAUCAGAAACUUUAGUAUGAUAAUUGGUUUACCCGCCUUAAGGGAUUGAGAGGAUAAGUACUUACUUAUCAAAAAGAGUGGUAACGCGGAUAUAAUUCGUCUCUUAGCUGUAAAGCUAAGGGACUUUUUUGAUUUA